rnacentral:lncRNA from 1 species
UUGGCCGUUUUCAACCGUUCCCGGCCGAAUUUGGCCACACUCGCAUUAGUUUCUGUGAAUAAACAAACCUACGGCCCUCGGGGGGCCAAAAAAUUACGGAAAACCGAAGCUUACUGGCGGCGGUGCUCUCGGGUGCGACGGCUCUCCGGCAAGGUUCGUCUUUGGUGAUUCGGCUCCGGUCAACCUGUAGAGAAAAGAAUGGUGAUCACGGUGAUAUAAAAAUUGCAUCAAACGGAGGCCGGGAAGGGCCUCAUCGGAGGCGAAAACCGAGGAGGGGCGCGGCGGCGCUGCUGGCUUUC